rnacentral:tRNA from 1 species
GGGCGAUUAACUCAGCGGCUAGAGUACCUCGUUUACACCGAGGGAGUCGGGGGUUCGAAUCCCUCAUCGCCCA